CUGUUUUCCUCCUCUUCCUCUUCAUCAUUUCUUCUCCAUUUGAGAAAAUCUCCUGAUGUAGCCUAGGUUGGCCUUGAUCUCAUGAUUCCCCUGUCUCCACUCCUUGAGUGCUCAGAUGACAAGGGAAAUCAUUGUUGUAGCUGCCAAAUCAAUAUUAAAACCAGGGGCUUAUGAGAAAGCC